AGAGUUUGAUCCUGGCUCAGGAUGAACGCUAGCGGCAGGCUUAACACAUGCAAGUCGAGGGGCAUCGGGAGGGAAGCUUGCUUUCCUUGCCGGCGACCGGCGCACGGGUGAGUAACACGUAUGCAACCUGCCCUCUUCAGGGGGACAACCUUCCGAAAGGGAGGCUAAUCCCGCGUAUAUCGGUUUCGGGCAUCCGAGAUCGAGGAAAGAUUCAUCGGAAGAGGAUGGGCAUGCGGCGCAUUAGCUAGACGGCGGGGUAACGGCCCACCGUGGCGACGAUGCGUAGGGGUUCUGAGAGGAAGGUCCCCCACACUGGUACUGAGACACGGACCAGACUCCUACGGGAGGCAGCAGUGAGGAAUAUUGGUCAAUGGGAGAGAUCCUGAACCAGCCAAGCCGCGUGAGGGAAGACGGCCCUAUGGGUUGUAAACCUCUUUUGUCGGAGAACAAAACCCGGGACGAGUCCCGGACUGCGUGUAUCCGAAGAAAAAGCAUCGGCUAACUCCGUGCCAGCAGCCGCGGUAAUACGGAGGAUGCGAGCGUUAUCCGGAUUUAUUGGGUUUAAAGGGUGCGUAGGCGGUCCGUUAAGUCAGCGGUAAAAUUGCGGGGCUCAACCCCGUCGAGCCGUUGAAACUGGCAGACUUGAGUUGGCGAGAAGUACGCGGAAUGCGCGGUGUAGCGGUGAAAUGCAUAGAUAUCGCGCAGAACUCCGAUUGCGAAGGCAGCGUACCGGCGCCAGACUGACGCUGAGGCACGAAAGCGUGGGGAUCGAACAGGAUUAGAUACCCUGGUAGUCCACGCAGUAAACGAUGAAUGCUGGGUGUCCGGGUCGAAUGAGACCUGGGCGGCGAAGCGAAAGCGAUAAGCAUUCCACCUGGGGAGUACGCCGGCAAACGGUGAAACUCAAAGGAAUUGACGGGGGCCCGCACAAGCGGAGGAACAUGUGGUUUAAUUCGAUGAUGCGCGAGGAACCUUACCCGGGCUCAAACGGGAGUGGAAUGGACCAGAGACGGUUCAGCCUACGGGCCGCUUCCGAGGUGCUGCAUGGUUGUCGUCAGCUCGUGCCGUGAGGUGUCGGCUUAAGUGCCAUAACGAGCGCAACCCCCGCCGGCAGUUGCUAACGGGCAAUGCCGAGGACUCUGCCGGGACUGCCGCCGCAAGGCGUGAGGAAGGCGGGGAUGACGUCAAAUCAGCACGGCCCUUACGUCCGGGGCGACACACGUGUUACAAUGGGCGGUACAGCGGGAAGCCAGGCGGCGACGCCGAGCGGAACCCGAAAGCCGUUCUCAGUUCGGAUCGGAGUCUGCAACCCGACUCCGUGAAGCUGGAUUCGCUAGUAAUCGCGCAUCAGCCAUGGCGCGGUGAAUACGUUCCCGGGCCUUGCACACACCGCCCGUCAAG
rnacentral:rRNA from 1 species